UACGUAUGGUGCAAGCGUUAUCCGGAUUUACUGGGUGUAAAGGGAGCGCAGGCGGCACGGCAAGCCUGAUGUGAAGGCCCGCGGCCCAACCGCGGGACUGCAUUGGGAACUACCGGGCUGGAGUGCCGGAGAGGUAGGCGGAAUUCCUAGUGUAGCGGUGAAAUGCGUAGAUAUUAGGAGGAACACCAGUGGCGAAGGCGGCCUACUGGACGGUGACUGACGCUGAGGCUCGAAAGCGUGGGGAGCAAACAGG
rnacentral:rRNA from 1 species